rnacentral:rRNA from 1 species
UACGAAGGGGGCUAGCGUUGUUCGGAAUCACUGGGCGUAAAGGGCGCGUAGGCGGCUUUGUAAGUCGGGGGUGAAAGCCUGUGGCUCAACCACAGAAUUGCCUUCGAUACUGCGAGGCUUGAGACCGGAAGAGGUUAGUGGAACUGCGAGUGUAGAGGUGAAAUUCGUAGAUAUUCGCAAGAACACCAGUGGCGAAGGCGGCUGACUGGUCCG